rnacentral:rRNA from 1 species
GACGAACGCUGGCGGCGUGCUUAACACAUGCAAGUCGAACGGUAAGGCCCUGCUUUUGUGGGGUGCUCGAGUGGCGAACGGGUGAGUAACACGUGAGUAACCUGCCCUUGCCUUUGGGAUAACUUCAGGAAACUGGGGCUAAUACCGGAUAGGAGCUCCUGCUGCAUGGUGGGGGUUGGAAAGUUUCGGCGGUUGGGGAUGGACUCGCGGCUUUUCAGCUUGUUGGUGGGGUAGUGGCUUACCAAGGCUUUGACGGGUAGCCGGCCUGAGAGGGUGACCGGCCACAUUGGGACUGAGAUACGGCCCAGACGCCUACGGGAGGCAGCAGUGGGGAAUAUUGCACAAUGGGCGGAAGCCUGAUGCAGCAACGCCGCGUGCGGGAUGACGGCCUUCGGGUUGUAAACCGCGUUCGCCUGUGACGAAGCGUGAGUGACGGUAAUGGGUAAAGAAGCACCGGCUAACUACGUG